UUGAACGCUGGCGGUAUGCUUAACACAUGCAAGUCGAACGGAAACGAUACUAGCUUGCUAGUAGGCGUCGAGUGGCGGACGGGUGAGUAACGCGUAGGAAUCUGCCUGAUAGUGGGGGAUAGCCCGAAGAAAUUCGGAUUAAUACCGCAUAAUCUAUUCGUAGUAAAGUGGGGGACUUUCGAGCCUCACGCUAUCAGAUGAGCUUGCGUAAGAUUAGCUAGUUGGUAGGGUAAAAGCCUACCAAGGCUACGAUCUUUAGCUGGUCUGAGAGGAUGAUCAGCCACAUCGGGACUGAGACACGGCCCGAACUCCUACGGGAGGCAGCAGUGGGGAAUAUUGGACAAUGGGGGCAACCCUGAUCCAGCAAUACCGCGUGUGUGAAGAAGGCCUGAGGGUUGUAAAGCACUUUCAAUUGUGAAGAAAAGUUAACGGUUAAUAACCGUUAGCCUUGACGUUAACUUUAGAAGAAGCACCGGCUAACUCCGUGCCAGCAGCCGCGGUAAUACGGAGGGUGCAAGCGUUAAUCGGAAUUACUGGGCGUAAAGCGUGCGUAGGCGGUUUAUUAAGUCAGAUGUGAAAGCCCCGGGCUUAACCUGGGAACUGCAUUUGAAACUGGUCAACUAGAGUAUGGUAGAGGAAAGUGGAAUUUCUGGUGUAGCGGUGAAAUGCGUAGAUAUCAGAAGGAACAUCAAUGGCGAAGGCAGCUUUCUGGACCAAUACUGACGCUGAGGUACGAAAGCGUGGGUAGCAAACAGGAUUAGAUACCCUGGUAGUCCACGCCGUAAACGAUGAUAACUAGCCGUUGGGGGGAUUUACCCUUUAGUGGCGAAGCUAACGCGUUAAGUUAUCCGCCUGGGGAGUACGGCCGCAAGGUUAAAACUCAAAGGAAUUGACGGGGACCCGCACAAGCGGUGGAGCAUGUGGUUUAAUUCGAUGCAACGCGAAGAACCUUACCUGGUCUUGACAUCCUGCGAACUUUCUAGAAAUAGAUUGGUGCCUUCGGGAACGCAGUGACAGGUGCUGCAUGGCUGUCGUCAGCUCGUGUCGUGAGAUGUUGGGUUAAGUCCCGUAACGAGCGCAACCCCUAUCCUUAUUUGCCAGCACGUCAUGGUGGGAACUAUAAGGAGACUGCCGGUGAUAAACCGGAGGAAGGCGGGGACGACGUCAAGUCAUCAUGGCCCUUACGACCAGGGCUACACACGUGCUACAAUGGGAAGGACAAAGAGCCGCGAAGCCGCGAGGUGUAGCUAAUCUCAGAAACCUUUUCGUAGUCCGGAUUGGAGUCUGCAACUCGACUCCAUGAAGUCGGAAUCGCUAGUAAUCGUAGAUCAGAAUGCUACGGUGAAUACGUUCCCGGGUCUUGUACACACCGCCCGUCAAGG
rnacentral:rRNA from 1 species